CCUACGGGGGGCAGCAGUGAGGAAUAUUGGUCAAUGGACGAGAGUCUGAACCAGCCAAGUAGCGUGAAGGAUGACUGCCCUAUGGGUUGUAAACUUCUUUUAUAUGGGAAUAAAAUGUUCCACGUGUGGGAUUUUGUAUGUACCAUAUGAAUAAGGAUCGGCUAACUCCGUGCCAGCAGCCGCGGUAAUACGGAGGAUCCGAGCGUUAUCCGGAUUUAUUGGGUUUAAAGGGUGCGUAGGUGGAUUGUUAAGUCAGUUGUGAAAGUUUGCGGCUCAACCGUAGAAUUGCAGUUGAAACUGGCAGUCUUGAGUACAGUAGAGGUGGGCGGAAUUCGUGGUGUAGCGGUGAAAUGCUUAGAUAUCACGAAGAACUCCGAUUGCGAAGGCAGUUCACUGGACUGCAACUGACACUGAGGCUCGAAAGUGUGGGUAUCAAACAGGAUUAGAUACCCGUGUAGUC
rnacentral:rRNA from 1 species